GGAAAUCCUCGUCUGCUAGUUUGUGAGACGAAGUAAAAUCCCCCUCUGUAUCAUUCGAAGGAAGGCGGCUAGUUCAUUUGAAAGUGUACUUCUGGCCAGGUGUGGAUGGUGGUGGUCUGCAGAAGGGAAGUGUCCUUUUGAGUGGUCCAGUGCGAGAGUGGUGAAGGCCCUGUUGGUAAUUGUUCAGGCAGCAGUCCCUUGGCGGAGUCUUGUGGUCAAGUCUGCCGGCAGGCUUAACAACAUGGAAUCAGUUGGUUAUCCUUCAGAGGGGGCAGGCAGUAUGCAGUCAUGAUGAAGACUUGUUAGGUGGUCCAGUGAAAGAAGCUCGUGGUCUGCAGUCCUGUAUGAGUUUGGCAUCUGUGGUCCUUUGGGAGUGGCCAGCUGUAGAAGUUCUGUGGAAGUCAUUGGUGCUCGAGGGUUUGUGUUUCAUAGUCCCGUGGGAGAGGUUGGCAAUCGACGGUCCCGUGGGAGAGGUUGGCAAUCAACGGUCCCAUGGGAGAGGUUGGCAAUCAACGGUCCCGUGGGAGAGUUGAGGCGAUUGACGGUCCCGUGGGAGAGGUUUGGCAAUCGACGGUCCCGUGGGAGAGGUUUGGCAAUAGACGGUCCCGUGGGAGAGGUUGGCAAUCGACGGUCCCAUGGGAGAGGUUGGCAUUCGACGGUCCCGUGGGAGAGGUUGGCAUUCGACGGUCCCGUGGGAGAGGUUGGCAUUCGACGGUCCCGUGGGAGAGGUUGGCAUGCGACGGUCCCGUGGGAGAGGUUGGCAUUCGACGGUCCCGUGGGAGAGGUUGGCAUUCGACGGUCCCGUGGGAGAGGUUGGCAUUCGACGGUCCCGUGGGAGAGGUUGGCAAUCGACGGUCCCGUGGGAGAGGUUGACAUUUGACAAUCCCGUGGGAGAGUUUAACAAUCAACAUUCGUGUGGGAGAGAGCAUUAGACGGUCCCUUGGGAAAGGUAUUCGACAGUCCCGUAGAAGAGGCUGGUAGUCAGCGGUCCCGUGGGAGAGGUUGGCAGUCAGCAGUCCUGUCGGAGUGGUGGGCAUUCAGCGGUCCUGUGGGAGAGGUUGGCAGUAGGCGGUCCCAUGGGAGAGGUUGGCAUUCGACGGUCCCGUGGGAGUGUUGGGCAUUCAGCGGUCCCGUGGGAGAGGUUGGCCGGCAGAGGUCCCGUGAGAGAGGUUAACAAUCAACGGUCGUGUGGGAGAGAGCAUUCGACGGUCCCAUAGAAGAGGCUUGUAGUCAGCGGUCCCGUGGGAGAGGUUGGCAUUCGACGGUCCCGUGGGAGAGGUUGGCAUUCGACGGUCCCGUGGGAGAGGUUGGCAUUCGACGGUCCCGUGGGAGAGGUUGGCAAUCGACGGUCCCGUGGGAGAGGUUGGCAAUCGACGGUCCCGUGGGAGAGGUUGGCAAUCGACGGUCCCGUGGGAGAGGUUGGCAUUCAGCGGUCCCGUGGGAGAGGUUAACAAUCAACGGUCGUGUGGGAGAGAGCAUUCGACGGUCCCAUAGAAGAGGCUUGUAGUCAGCGGUCCCGUGAGAGAGGUUGGCAUUCGACAGUCCCGUGGGAGAGGUUGGCAAUCAACGGUCCCGUGGGAGAGGUUGGCAUUCGACGGUCCCGUGGGAGAGGUUGGCAGUCAGCAGUCCUGUGGGAGAGGUGGGUAUUCAGCGGUCCUGUGGGAGAGGUUGGCGUUCGACGUUCCCUUGGAAGAGAUUGGCAUUUGACGAUCCUGUGAGAGAGGUUGGCAUUUGACGAUCCUGUGAGAGAGGUUGGCAUUCGACAGUCCCGUGGGAGAGGUUGGCAAUCAACGGUCCCGUGGGAGAGGUUGGCAUUCGACGGUCCCGUGGGAGAGGUUGGCAAUCGACGGUCCCGUGGGAGAGGUUGGCAAUCGACGGUCCCGUGGGAGAGGUUGGCAAUCGACGGUCCCGUGGGAGAGGUUGGCAAUCGACGGUCCCGUGGGAGAGGUUGGCAUUCAGCGGUCCCGUGGGAGAGGUUAACAAUCAACAGUCGUUUGGGAGAGAGCAUUCUAUGGUCCCUUGGGAAAGGUUGGCAUUCUACAGUCCCGUGGGAGAGGUUGGCGUUCGGCAUUCCCUUGAGAGAGGUUGGCAGUCGGCGGUCUCGUGGCAGAGGUUAGCGUUCGAUGAUUCUGUGGGAGAGGUUGGCAUUCAACAGCCCCAUGGAGAAGUUGGCGUUCGACGUUCCCUUGGAAGAAGUUGGUGUUUGACGUUCCCUUGGAAGAGGUUGGCAUUCGACGUUCCCUUGGAAGAGGUUGGCAUUCGACAGUCCCGUGGGAGAGAUUGGCAGUCGGCGGUCCUGUGGGAGAGUUUGGUGGUUGGUCAGUUGGCCCCGUAAAAGAAGCUGGUGGUCAGCCUACCUGCGGGAGAGGCUUGGGGAUGGCAUACUUAUGGAAGAAGUUUUGGGUCCUUAUACCUGUGGGAGAGGCUGGGGUCUUCUGUUCCUGAAGGAGGGGCUGGCGGUCGGCUGUUCCCGUUGAAGAGGCUGGCAGUGGGCUGUUCCCGUUGAAGAGGCUUGCUGACGGUCGGCUGUUUCCGUUGGAGAGGCUGGUGGUCGGCUGGAACAUUCCCGUUGAAGAGGCUGGCGGUCGGCUGGAACGUUCCCGUUGAAGAGGCUUGCUGGCGGUCGGCUGUUCCCGUUGAAGAGGCUGGCGGUCGGCUGUUCCCGUUGAAGAGGCUGGCGGUUGGCAGUCCCUUUGGAGAGCGAGCCUGGCAAUCGGUGGUCACAUGGGAGAGUGUGGCAGACGGCAGUCCCGUGGGAGGUGGCAACAGUUGAUGGUUCUCAAGGAAGAAGGUGGCAGCUGGGAGUUCUCGUAGGAUAAGGGGGUGGUCAGCAUACCCUUGGGAGAGGCUGUGGAUUGGCAUAUACCCUUAGGAGAGGCUGUGGAUUGGCAUAUACCCUUAGGAGAGGCUGUGGAUCGGCAUAUACCCUUGGGAGAGGCUGUGGAUCGGCAUAUACCCUUGGGAGAGGCUGGGGAUGAGCAUACGCUUAGGAAAGGCUGUGUAUCAGCAUACCCUUGGGAGAGUCUUGUGUAUCUGCAUACCCUUGGGAGAGGCUGUGAAUCUGCAAACCCUUUGGAGAGGCUGUAGAUCAGCGUACCCUUGGAUAGGCUGCCGGUCAGUGAUUGUUGUGGGAAAGGCUGCUGGUCAGUAGUUCCCAUGGGAGAGAGCCUGGCAGUCUAUGAGUUUUGUAAGAGGGCCUGGUGGUUGGCGGAAGGCGGGCAAAUGGCGGAUACUGUGGAAGGGAAGAUGCUGGCAGUCGACAGUUUCUGUAAGAGAGGCUGGCAGUCAGCCGAUACUGUGGAAGGGGAGACGCUGGUGGUCGACAGUUCCUGUAGGAGAGGCUGGCAGUCAGCAGAUACUGUGGAAGGGAAGACACUGGUGGUCGACAGUUCCUGUAGGAUAGACUGGCAGUCGGCGGUUACUAUGGAAGAAACUGGCAGUCCGUGAUUCCCAAUGGGAGAGGCUGGCGGUUGGCUUUUCCAUGGGGAAGGCUUGCGAUCAGAAAAUGCCUCUUCAAAAAGUUGGUCCCAUAUGAGAGGUUAAGGGUCUUGUGGGUGAGAUUGGCAUUCAGCGGUCCUAUGUGAGAGGCUGGCCUUUUGCCAUCCUGGGGAGAGGUGGGUGGGCAACAAACAUUGGGACAUUAAUUUGGGGGAGGCUAGUGGUUAGGGUUCCGUGGGAGAGGUUGGAGUUCGGCAGUCCCGUGGGAGAGGUUGGAGUUCGGCAGUCCCGUGGGAGAGGUUGGAGUUCGGCAGUCCCGUGGGAGAGGUUGGAGUUCGGCAGUCCCUUGGGAGAGGUUGGAGUUCGGCAGUCCCGUGGGAGAGGUUGGAGUUCGACGUUCCUGUGGGAGGGGCAUCGCAGAGGCUAGCAGUUGACGAUCCGACGGUCCCUUCGGAGAAACCUCGUUAUGCGUUGCAGUCCUAUAGAAGAGGCGGUUUUCAACCGUAAUCCUCGGGAACCUGUUACUUGUUCUGGAGAGCCAUGCAGUUGGCUUUUGUGAAGACCUUCUACUGUCGCUGAAAAGAGAAGUGCGUUGUGAUUUCUACUGGUCCUGCGAAAGAUCCUAUAAGGCAACAGCUUUGUGGAUGGUGAUCCAAUGGACAAGUCUUGUCUCUGGUUAGUAUCAUGGAAGGAAUUAUCUGGUGGAAGUCGAGUGGAAGAAUGAAUCAGUUAGCGUGUGCAUGUGGUCGUCCUGUUGAAGAAGUAUUGUAAUUUUAUGUACACUCGGCAAGGAAAGUUAAGAUACAGUUUUUUUAAAUCUUCGGACAUACAUUGUUCAAUAAUGCCACACCUGGCAACUCUUGAAAGGGGGCGGAGCUUCAAAAUCAUAGCGAUUGUUGCUUUCUAGAUUUCCAACAACUUUACACCAUAAAGAUUCUGUUGAGGUCCUAUAAUCAUUUAUACUUGAAUGUAGAAACAGGCUCUAUAUUAUUCGUUAAUGUUGGUUUGGUAACGUCAGUUGAGGGUAGAAUAUCGAUCAUCCUUUUUUAAAACCUACUGUGAAUCCUUAUUUAUAAGUAAUAUUUGACACUAAACACGUUAAAUUCAUACGUAAUUGAAGACUGAUCUUAAACAAUGAGAGAAAGUGUUUUAAAAUUUGGGCAGUACUUGUGGAAAUCGUGAGGAACAAUACAGUAAAGGAUGAAAUAUGACGAUAGAGAGAGCGUGCGCAAGCUUAGGCCUAUCGAUAGAGAUACUUAAUUAAUUAUAUUUACUUUGAGAGAUUAAUGAUGAUAUUUUUUCAAAUGUUUCAAAAGUUGGAGAGAGAGAGAGAGAGAGAGCGCAUGCAUAGGCCUAUCUGUAGAGAUACUUAAUUCAUUAUAUACUUUGAGAGAUUGAGUGAUAAUAUUUUUUCAAAUGUGUUUUAAAAGCUGAGAGAGAGAGAGAGAAGCAAAAUUUGCUCAUGUGAAAGCUUAGGCCUAUUUAUAACUACUUAAUUUCAUAUUUUCUUUGGGAGAUUGAGUGGUAAUAUAUAUAUUUUUAAAGUAUGUUUUAGAAGUGGAGAGAGAGAGAGAAUUAUAGUACUGGUGACGGGGGAAAGGCAGAAGAAAAUAUAAUGAAUUAAGUAUCUCUGUCGAUAGGCCUAUGCUUGCGGGAUAUGAUAUGACUGCCAAGGUCGUGCUGCACUAUGCUAGAUAAAAUUUGAAGGAUCAUAAUAUUCAAGUCAAUUUUCUAAGAAAUUCUUACCCUAAUCUUGAUUACAUUCGACAGUUGCCGUAGCAUUCAAAGAUUGUAAAAAGAUGUGGAAAAUGUUAAAAUGUUAGACACAGGGUGCGGUCAUUCUUGCUCUCUUGAUAUAGUCUUGACUUUUGAAAAUCGGUUUUCAUCCACAAAUCAUUCGCGAAAAAAGCUGUGUUAAUUCGAAAAAAGCUGUGUUAAUUAAAAAAUAUUUAUUACCACAAAUAACUCAAUAUGUAUUGCACAGGCAAUUAAAGUUUUAUAUCGUGGAAGAUCUUUCAGCCUUGUGGCAAAGAAAUGCAGUCGUGUAGGGCUGUAGGCUACUACGAACUGCUCUGUAAUGGGAGCAUAUAGCCAGAAAAUCUUUGAGCUAACUUGCUACUUUAACCUUGAUUAAGAUUUAUAUUUAAAGACAGUAGCUUUGUAAACAGCAACUAGCAUUCGAUCCAUGUCAACAUCAAAGUAAUCAAAGUGUGAAAUCCGUUACGUAGCCAGUAUCCAGUGACUUGCACUUUCCUGCUCGGUGUUCUAGGGCUCCUCCUCACAUCAUAGAAAACGCUCUUGCGGAUGCAACUAAUUUGUUCAACCUACCUUAGCUGUCGCAACAUUGAGUGCCAUUGACGUCAGCUAACUUUAAUCCCUUUGGAAUACAAACAUAAAAUUGUAGAAACUAAAAUAAUUGCAUUCACCACUUAUGAUGAGGCAAUAUACCUCCGUUCAUGAAGCAAAACUAGUAAUUAUUGUCGUCGUGAUACAUAGUACUAAAAUCAGAAAUUCACAUUCUAUCUACCAGAUCUCUAUGAACGAAUCCAUCUGAGAUAUUCCAAUUACUUCGGACAUAUAUCGUGUUUUUAAGUAUCUGAACGGUUUCGUUUUGCAGUUUUAACUUAUAUGAUAUAAUUUGCAGUAUAUUUUCAUAUUCUAGAGUAAAUUUAGCGAUAUGUCUUUUCAGUAAAAACAAAUGGGAAAUUGGAUGAACGAAAGCUAAUGAAAACUGUAUCUUCAGUUUUCUUGUCGAGUGUACAUCAUAUUGUGUGGAAGAAGUGUGGUUGUGGUACUUUAUUUUUUUUAUUAUAGUAGUUAUAUCCACAUGUUGACUGAAUGUCUUAUAUGAGAAAGCUUUUGCAUGAGCUAGUCUCUCAUGUGAUGUGGUAACUGUAUUAAAAUUGUUGUAGUUGAUAAAGUUUUGUAAAGUUAAUUAGUAAAAUUGUAACUUAUUGGUAAAAAUGUAACCUCAGCAGUUAACAUAUUGCCGUGUUAUAGUUUCUAGUGUUGUAUAGUUGUACAUGAAGUGAUAAAGCUGAAAUUUGUGUAAUACAGUUUUGUUUAUUCAAUUGUUUUGUAGUAAAAAGACAAAUUUGUUGUAUUUUCAGGCGAAUGAGAUCUUCAGAGUUCUGGAGAUAGAGUUUAAUAAAAAAAAUAAAUCAAU